rnacentral:rRNA from 1 species
GACGAACGCUGGCGGCGUGUUUAACACAUGCAAGUCGAACGGAAAGGCCUCUUUCGGGGGGUACUCGAGUGGCGAACGGGUGAGUAACACGUGAGUAACCUGCCCUUGACUUUGGGAUAACUUCAGGAAACUGGGGCUAAUACCGGAUAGGAGCUCCUGCUGCAUGGUGGGGGUUGGAAAGUUUCGGCGGUUGGGAUGGACUCGCGGCUUAUCAGCUUGUUGGUGGGGUAGUGGCUUACCAAGGCUUUGACGGGUAGCCGGCCUGAGAGGGUGACCGGCCACAUUGGGACUGAGAUACGGCCCAGACUCCUACGGGAGGCAGCAGUGGGGAAUAUUGCACAAUGGGUGGAAGCCUGAUGCAGCAACGCCGUGUGCGGGAUGACGGCCUUCGGGUUGUAAACCGCUUUCGCUCAUGACGAAGCUUUGUGUGACGGUAGUGGGUAAAGAAGCACCGGCUAACUACGUG